rnacentral:misc_RNA from 1 species
AUGUGUUUUGUGUUUAGUCUUCCGGCGUAGAGUGGGAUGUCAUGGCCGGCGAAUUUAUUUGGUGUUUGAAGUAUCGCGUUAUAUUUGUAAUCGGUUUUUUCGGGUGCCCGUAUGUGCCAACUUGAAAUGUUUGUGCAUACUAUGCAGGUCAGAAAUAUUGUGGACAGAAGAAUUGGGCGACUUGUUUAGCGAGUGCACUUUUUCGCUACCACAGAUCGUAAAGUGAAUUUCGGAUAAAGUGCUAAAAGCAGCUAAGCUCUUCAGUCAGUUGAAGUUUCAUUAGUCCCUGGGGCCAAGAUUUGAGGAGUUCAUCAAAUGGUUGUAACUACAAGAUAAUUGCUUUUUCAACUGAAUUGAGGAAAUGUGAAUUGUUGUCAAUGUGGCUGGAGCACUGGCAAUUACUGUUUCUCGAGGUAGAUCUGUUCAAGAAAAAGUUACUCAAGUUAAUUUUGUAAUGGAAGUAACAGAGUGAAUAAUGUGGUGCACAAUGGCUAACUGCAGUUUCUUAAUAAAUGGUUACAUGAACAUGAACAUUGCUUAAUUCGAAUGUGUGACAAGAUAUUAUUUGGGUACAUGCCUGAAGAAGAAUGUAAUCUGAUGACUGCCAUUACCUGCAUUGAUGAAGCUCAUGCACCUGUCGUCUGCAGAAUGGUGGAAUUUUUUUCACAAAAAUAACUGGUGGUGGAAUAUUGAUGUACCAUGAUCCAAAGGAACUUCUAAGUAAUUCCUAAUAUUGAUACGGAGCAAUGAAGGCAGUCAUACCAAGUAUGAAGCAGAGACAACAUAGUAUGAUGAAAUAAGUGGUUUUUAUUCAGAAAGCUGUAUAAUUUGAAGACUAUCUGUAUUUGCUAAUUGCAUUAAUUACCGAAAGCACAAACUGCUCUGUAGCCCUGCAUUCAUGAUGAUGGCGGAACUCUUUAAACAUGCUUUAGGAAAAAGAAAAACUGAAAAGUGAUUGCUACAAAAGUGACAUUUCAUCAGUUAACCAAAAGUAAUAGAGGAUGAUGCUGUAGUGAAAGUUAGAAUUUCACAGGACAUGAAAAUUAAUAAAUGUACAGAUAUAUAUAAAAUUUUGACAUUAAUAUUUUAUUUUGUAAAAAGCUAUUUUAAGUGAGGGCUUUAUUCAAGAGGGGCAAAAUUAUAUGACAUUUCCACCCCAGAUUGAUUUUUUAAAAAUUGUAAUAGUUUGUCUUCAAAUAUUGUGUAAAUUUAGUGAUGAUUAGUGUUUGAUGAAACUUCAUCAAAUCUGUUUUCAUAUUU